AUUGAACGCUGGCGGAAUGCUUUACACAUGCAAGUCGAACGGCAGCAUAGGUGCUUGCACCUGAUGGCGAGUGGCGAACGGGUGAGUAAUAUAUCGGAACGUGCCCAGUCGUGGGGGAUAACGUAGUGAAAAUUACACUAAUACCGCAUACGAUCUAAGGAUGAAGGCGGGGGAUCGCAAGACCUCGCGCGAUCGGAGCGGCCGAUAUCAGAUUAGGUAGUUGGUGAGGUAAAGGCUCACCAAGCCAACGAUCUGUAGCUGGUCUGAGAGGACGACCAGCCACACUGGAACUGAGACGCGGUCCAGACUCCUACGGGAGGCAGCAGUGGGGAAUUUUGGACAAUGGACGCAAGUCUGAUCCAGCCAUUCCGCGUGCAGGACGAAGGCCUUCGGGUUGUAAACUGCUUUUGUACAGAACGAAAAGGUCUCUAUUAAUACUAGGGGCUCAUGACGGUACUGUAAGAAUAAGCACCGGCUAACUACGUGCCAGCCGCCGCCGUAA
rnacentral:rRNA from 1 species